CCUACAGGCGGCAGCAGUGGGGAAUAUUGCACAAUGGGGGCAACUCUGAUGCAGCGACGCCGCGUGAGUGAAGAAGGCUUUCGGUUUGUAAAGCUCUAUCAGCGGGGAAGAGAAUGACGGUAUAUGAGUUAGAAGCCCCGGCUAACUACGUGCCAGCAGCCGCGGUAAUACGUAGGGGGCAAGCGUGAUCCGGAUUUACUGGGUGUAAAGGGAGCGUGGACGGGAGUACAAAUGUGAAGUGAAAGGCGGAGGCUCAACCCCCGGACUGCACUUGAAACUGUAUGGCUGGAGUGCAGGAGAGGUAAUUGGAAUUCCUAGUGUAGCGGUGAAAUGCGUAGAUAUUAGGAAGAACACCAGUGGCGAAGGCGGAUUACUGGACCGCAACUGACGUUGAGGCGCGAAAGCGUGGGGAGCAAACAGGAUUAGAUACCCCAGUAGUC
rnacentral:rRNA from 1 species